rnacentral:rRNA from 1 species
GACGAACGCUGGCGGCGUGCUUAACACAUGCAAGUCGAACGGAAAGGCCUGCUUUCCCUUGUGGAUUGCAGGUACUCGAGUGGCGAACGGGUGAGUAACACGUGAGUGAUCUGCCCCCAACUUGGGUAUAAGCCUGGGAAACUGGGUCUAAUUCCCGAUAGGACUGCAGGGUGGUGCCAGUGGUUGAAAACGAUUUUCUAGUGGUUGGGGAUGAGCUCGCGGCCUAUCAGCUUGUUGGUGGGGUAAUGGCCUACCAAGGCGGCGACGGGUAGCCGGCCUGAGAGGGUGGACGGCAACAUUGGGACUGAGAUACGGCCCAGACUCCUACGGGAGGCAGCAGUGGGGAAUAUUGCAAAAUGGGCGGAAGCCUGAUGCAGCGACGCCGCGUGGGGGAUGACGGCCUUCGGGUUGUAAACUCCUUUCGACCGCGAGGAAGCCACCUGGUUGGAAGGGUGGUGACGGUAGUGGUAGAAGAAGCACCGGCUAACUACGUG